GGAAUGUGCCACAUCUGCUCUCACUCUGCCAUGGACUCCUGGACCCUCUGUGUGUCCCUUUGUAUCCUGGUAGCGACAUGCACAGAUGCUGGCAUUAUCCGGUCACCCAAGCAUGAGGUGACAGAAAUGGGACAAACAGUGACUCUGAGAUGUGAGCCAAUUUUCGGCCACAAACUCCUUUUCUGGUACAGACAGACCUUUGUGCAGGGACUGGAAUUGCUGAGUUACUUCCGGAGCCGAUCUAUUAUAGAUGAUGCAGGUAUGCCCACAGAUCGAUUCUCAGCUGAGAGGUCUGAUGGAUCAUUCUCUAUUCCGAAGAUCCAGUCUGCAGAGCAGGGGGACUCGGCCGUGUAUGUAUGUGCAAGCCGCUUAGCCACAGCACUGCAGAAUCUCCCCCUCCCUGUGCAGAAACUCUGGUGCUUCCUCUUUUCCCCACAGCUCCCAGCAGUCCUGAGCAAAGUCUUUCCUGCCUCACCCUCCCCACAAGAAUAA